UCAUUCAUUCUCACUUCUGUUGGGAAAGCUUUGUUUCAUCUUCGAUACGCCGUCUGUGCGAAAACUUAGAAACCCUAAGUUACGCUUCGAUUCAGCUUCCCGACUCGAACAAAUCUGAAACAAUUACGAGAGUUACACCGGAACGAAGCGUCGCUUGAAAGCAUUCAUUAUCUAUUCUUGAAUGCAUCCCCUUUACUUCUUAUCCCAGAAUUUUUGACUAUAAAAAGGCUGAGCUACGUACGAAUGUGUUUUUAGGCAAUUGAAGAAUAAAGAUGAGGAUGGAGUGUCUGAGAACAAUGAAGGUCUGCCUCGGGCUUUGUUGGGAAGCUGCAAUGAUCGUGCAAGGCAUAUUCACGCUUCUUCUACAGGUCUUUCCCCAAAUUUCAAGCUUUUAUCUCUCUCACACUUCAUUUUUUUUAUCAUUCAUAUGUUUUUUGUUUAUAAGAAAAAGGGAAUGUAGGACUGUGUUAAAGUUGAUUUUGUUUUGUAAGAAUUAGAUUGUUUCUUCCGAAGUAUUUGUAAAUGGAGGAAUGAAACUUGCGGUCGAGGAGUCUGACAUGACUGCAUAGCUUCUCAUGACGCAUUUACUCAAAUUUGAUGGCAUCAAGAAGUACAGAAGGGGAAUCAGGAGUACAAAGAAAGCAGAGUUUAGUUUCUCAUCUCUUGCAUUCUUCUUUUGUCUGCAUCAUAGACUAUAUUUACACUAUAAGAAUGUCACUAAUAGUGUUGAACAACAUGAAUCACGUACUUAUGACUAAUGAGCUAUGAGGCUUUUGGAUGAGUUGCAGUGAUCUGAAUUUUGACUAUAAACAAACCUCCCGAGUGAGACAGAAAAGAAAACGUUACGAGAAAGAGAAAACGGUAAUGGAGGCAUCUAAAUUACUAUGGGUUGCAGCACAUUGGUGAUAGGGAGGAAUCACGAGAAGGAGAAGAUGAAGCAAGAGAUAGAGAGAAAAGAAGAGGAAAUAAAGAAUCUUGGAGAGAAAGUUAGAGAAGAUGAAAAGGAGAAGGAGAGGAACUCCUUCUGCAGAAGCCAUUGGAAGGUUGGGAAUAGUAAAGCUCGAAGGUACUUGAGGAACAUGAAGAAGAAGAAGCCUAUUCCUUUCUCACAUAAGUUUCCACGUGCUGAACCUCUUUCUCUUCACCUACCAGAAAUGUUGUCUUCUAAACCCAAUGACCUCCUUACAGCGGAAAGAAAGACUGAAAACUCUAUGUAUGCUGCUUACUAAGGUUUUUAAUGGUUUGGAGUGAAAGAUUACCUACAGUUCUUCGAAGGGGAUCAUAGAGCUGGGCUGAGAAGAGAGGAAACAAUAUCUAGCGAGAAUGUUGGAGGCUCACACAAGCCAGAUAUUUGCAAGGAUUACAAAGAUACUGGAUACUGCGGAUUAGACUCACAUGACCAUGGGUGUUACAAAGUGGGAUGAACAUAGAGAAAGAGUGGGAAGAUAAAUACAGCUAUAGGAGUUUAAGAUCAGAAUUAUGACGGUACUGACAUCAACAGCAACGUGGACAAAGAUACAUUGCCCUUUGUCUGCUUCAUAUGCAGAGACCUUUCGUGGAUCCAGUUGUCACCAAUGGAAGCAUUACUUAUGUGUUCUCUUUAUGGUUUAGUUGAGAGAGCCCUCUGCUGUCUGCUCAACGUUUUCUGGAUAGAGCAUAUUUAGCUUAAUAUUAAGUGUUUUCAAAACAAAAAAGCUAACAUACACUCAUUAUGAUUGUGCAGAACAAACGAUUUAUAUAUAAAAAUAAAAAGCAUAUGUUCCCUCAAA